rnacentral:rRNA from 1 species
GAUGAACGCUGGCGGCGUGCUUAACACAUGCAAGUCGAACGGAAAGGCUCCUGCUUGCAGGGGUACUCGAGUGGCGAACGGGUGAGUAACACGUGGGUGAUCUGCCCUGCACUUCGGGAUAAGCCUGGGAAACUGGUUCUAAUACCGGCUAGGACGAUGGUUUGGAUGCCAUUGUGGAAAGUUUUUCGGUGUGGGAUGAGCUCGCGGCCUAUCAGCUUGUUGGUGGGGGAAUGGCCUACCAAGGCGUCGACGGGUAGCCGGCCUGAGAGGGUGUACGGCCACAUUGGGACUGAGAUACGGCCCAGACUCCUACGGGAGGCAGCAGUGGGGAAUAUUGCACAAUGGGCGCAAGCCUGAUGCAGCGACGCCGCGUGGGGGAUGACGGCCUUCGGGUUGUAAACUCCUUUCGCUAGGGACGAAGCGCAAGUGACGGUACCUGGAGAAGAAGCACCGGCUAACUACGUG